rnacentral:rRNA from 1 species
UACGUUAAUCGGGGCAGGGUGAGUCGACCCCUAAGGCGAGGCCGAAAGGCGUAGUCGAUGGGAAACAGGUUAAUAUUCCUGUACUUGGUGUUACUGCGAAGGGGGGACGGAGAAGGCUAUGUUGGCCGGGCGACGGUUGUCCCGGUUUAAGCGUGUAGGCUGGUUUUCCAGGCAAAUCCGGAAAAUCAAGGCUGAGGCGUGAUGACGAGGCACUACGGUGCUGAAGCAACAAAUGCCCUGCUUCCAGGAAAAGCCUCUAAGCAUCAGGUAACAUCAAAUCGUACCCCAAACCGACACAGGUGGUCAGGUAGAGAAUACCAAGGCGCUUGAGAGAACUCGGGUGAAGGAACUAGGCAAAAUGGUGCCGUAACUUCGGGAGAAGGCACGCUGAUAUGUAGGUGAAGCGACUUGCUCGUGGAGCUGAAAUCAGUCGAAGAUACCAGCUGGCUGCAACUGUUUAUUAAAAACACAGCACUGUGCAAACACGAAAGUGGACGUAUACGGUGUGACGCCUGCCCGGUGCCGGAAGGUUAAUUGAUGGGGUCAGCGCAAGCGGAGCUCUUGAUCGAAGCCCCGGUAAACGGCGGCCGUAACGAUAACGGUCCUAAGGUAGCGAAAUUCCUUGUCGGGUAAGUUCCGACCUGCACGAAUGGCGUAAUGAUGGCCAGGCUGUCUCCACCCGAGACUCAGUGAAAUUGAACUCGCUGUGAAGAUGCAGUGUACCCGCGGCAAGACGGAAAGACCCCGUGAACCUUUACUAUAGCUUGACACUGAACAUUGAGCCUUGAUGUGUAGGAUAGGUGGGAGGCUUUGAAGUGUGGACGCCAGUCUGCAUGGAGCCGACCUUGAAAUACCACCCUUUAAUGUUUGAUGUUCUAACGUGGACCCGUGAUCCGGGUUGCGGACAGUGUCUGGUGGGUAGUUUGACUGGGGCGGUCUCCUCCUAAAGAGUAACGGAGGAGCACGAAGGUUGGCUAAUCCUGGUCGGACAUCAGGAGGUUAGUGCAAUGGCAUAAGCCAGCUUGACUGCGAGCGUGACGGCGCGAGCAGGUGCGAAAGCAGGUCAUAGUGAUCCGGUGGUUCUGAAUGGAAGGGCCAUUGCUCAACGGAUAAAAGGUACUCCGGGGAUAACAGGCUGAUACCGCCCAAGAGUUCAUAUCGACGGCGGUGUUUGGCACCUCGAUGUCGGCUCAUCACAUCCUGGAGCUGAAGUAGGUCCCAAGGGUAUGGCUGUUCGCCAUUUAAAGUGGUACGCGAGCUGGGUUUAGAACGUCGUGAGACAGUUCGGUCCCUAUCUGCCGUGGGCGCUGGAGAACUGAGGGGGGCUGCUCCUAGUACGAGAGGACCGGAGUGGACGCAUCACUGGUGUUCGGGUUGUCAUGCCAAUGGCACUGCCCGGUAGCUAAAUGCGGAAGAGAUAAGUGCUGAAAGCAUCUAAGCACGAAACUUGCCCCGAGAUGAGUUCUCCCUGACUCCUUGAGAGUCCUGAAGGAACGUUGAAGACGACGACGUUGAUAGGCCGGGUGUGUAAGCGCAGCGAUGCGCUGAGCUAACCGGUACUAAUGAACCGUGAGGCUUAACUC